UCAAUCUCGUGCGGCUAUAUAUACCGCCGGUCCCUCUAAGAAGAUUUUCAUUGUACGCCGGUAGUGAAGACCGCGAGACGCACGACACCGACGCGAACGCCGAAGCCGCGCGCACACGGACCCUCGUGAUACCGGUUGCACGUCUAUUUAAUAGGCUAGAGUUACGUUCGUUAC
rnacentral:rRNA from 1 species